GUUGUAUUUGUCAAGUUAGACAAGAAGAGGGAAAGUGUGGAUGCGUUAAUGGGCAUCUUGGCAGAAGGAUAUAUCACAGUUUCACUUCUGACUAAACUGGAGUGUUGAGAUAUACCUGAAAGCUUUAGAACAUUACCCUCAGCAAUGUCUUUGGAAAAUCCUCCAUAUCAACUGGAAGGGCAGAAGAAUGAAGGCUAGUGUUCUGGCUCAAAUAAACACCACCAGCAUCGAAACCAUGUUUAUAUGGCACCAGCUCCAUUGGACAGGACAUGUCAUAAGGAUGCCUGACAGGUGGCUCUCAAAACAGGCCCUGUACUCCCAACUCAUCUAUGAUCACUGCUUUAGAGAUUGGAAAAAGAAGAGCUUUAAGGACACCUGGAAGGACAAUUUAAAGAAAUGAAAUAGUAACAUCAAUACCUGGGAGGCUCAAGCACUCAAUAACACCCCCUGGC